rnacentral:rRNA from 1 species
CGCCUAACACAUGCAAGUCGAACGAAGUAGCAAUACUUAGUGGCAGACGGGUGAGUAACAUGUAGGUAUCUACCCUUUGGCCUGGAAUAACACGAGGAAACUUGUGCUAAUACCGGAUAAGUCUUUACGGAGAAAGCUUUAUGCACCAUUGGAUGAGCCUGCACUUGAUUAGUUUGUUGGUGGGGUAAUGGCCUACCAAGACUGUGAUCAAUAGCUGAUUUGAGAGGAUGAUCAGCCACAUUGGGACUGAGACACGGCCCAAACUCCUACGGGAGGCAGCAGUGGGGAAUCUUGCACAAUGGAGGAAACUCUGAUGCAGCGAUGCCGCGUGAGUGAAGAAGGCCCUUGGGUUGUAAAGCUCUUUCGUCGGGGAAGAAAAUGACUGUACCCGAAUAAGAAGGUCCGGCUAACUUCGUGCCAGCAGCCGCGGUAAUACGAAGGGACCUAGCGUAGUUCGGAAUUACUGGGCUUAAAGAGUUCGUAGGUGGUUGAAAAAGUUGGUGGUGAAAUCCCAGAGCUUAACUCUGGAACUGCCAUCAAAACUUUUCAGCUAGAGUUUGAUAGAGGAAAGCAGAAUUUCUAGUGUAGAGGUGAAAUUCGUAGAUAUUAGAAAGAAUACCAAUUGCGAAGGCAGCUUUCUGGAUCAUUACUGACACUGAGGAACGAAAGCAUGGGUAGCGAAGAGGAUUAGAUACCCUCGUAGUCCAUGCCGUAAACGAUGUGUGUUAGACGUUGGAAAUUUAUUUUCAGUGUCGCAGCGAAAGCGAUAAACACACCGCCUGGGGAGUACGACCGCA